UACCAGCACCCCGAGUGGUCGGGACGUUUUAUUGGGCCUAAAGCAUCCGUAGCCGGUUCUACAAGUCUUCCGUUAAAUCCACCUGCUCAACAGAUGGGCUGCGGAAGAUACUAUGGAGCUAGGAGGCGGGAGAGGCAAGCGGUACUCGAUGGGGUAGGGGUAAAAUCCGUUGAUCCAUUGAAGACCACCAGUGGCGAAGGCGGCUUGCCAGAACGCGCUCGACGGUGAGGGAUGAAAGCUGGGGGGAGCAAACCGG
rnacentral:rRNA from 1 species